CACACUGGUACUGAGACACGGACCAGACUCNUACGGGAGGCAGCAGUGGGGAAUAUUGCACAAUGGGCGCAAGCCUGAUGCAGCGACGCCGCUUGAGGGAUGGAGGCCUUCGGGUUGUGAACCUCUUUCGCCAGUGAAGCAGGCCUGCUCCUUUUUUGUGGGUGGGUUGACGGUAGCUGGAUAAGAAGCGCCGGCUAACUACGUGCCAGCAGCCGCGGUAAUACGUAGGGCGCGAGCGUUGUCCGGAAUUAUUGGGCGUAAAGAGCUCGUAGGCGGCUGGUCGCGUCUGUCGUGAAAUCCUCUGGCUUAACUGGGGGCUUGCGGUGGGUACGGGCCGGCUUGAGUGCGGUAGGGGAGGCUGGAACUCCUGGUGUAGCGGUGGAAUGCGCAGAUAUCAGGAAGAACACCGGUGGCGAAGGCGGGUCUCUGGGCCGUUACUGACGCUGAGGAGCGAAAGCGUGGGGAGCGAACAGGAUUAGAUACCCUGGUAGUCCACGCCGUAAACGUUGGGCACUAGGUGUGGGGGGCCUUUUCCGGGUCUUCCGCGCCGUAGCUAACGCAUUAAGUGCCCCGCCUGGGGAGUACGGCCGCAAGGCUAAAACUCAAAGGAAUUGACGGGGGCCCGCACAAGCGGCGGAGCAUGCGGAUUAAUUCGAUGCAACGCGAAGAACCUUACCAAGGCUUGACAUGUGCCGGUCUGCUCCGGAGACGGGGUUUCCUCCCUUGUGGGGGCUGGUUCACAGGUGCUGCAUGGUUGUCGUCAGCUC
rnacentral:rRNA from 1 species